rnacentral:rRNA from 1 species
AGAUACCCUAUUAUUAAAGAGCCAUAUAUUGUUAGUAAAUAGUUAUUACGAAAGCAAAAAAUUAUGGCGGUAUUUUAAGCUUUUCAGAGGAAUUUGCUCUUUAAUGGAUAAAACACCUAAAUCUUACUUGAAUUUGUUAAGUCAAUUUGUAUACCACUAUAAAAUUAAUUAUUUGCUUUAAUUAAUAAAGUUUAUAAUUUUUAAAACAAAUUAAGUCAAGGUGCAGUAAAAAUUUAAGAAUGAAGUGAAUUACAUUUCUUUUAAGAGAUUAAUGCAAUUAAAAAUAGAAUUAGGAUUUGAAAGUAAAAUUAAAAUAUAAUGUUAAUUUGAAUAAAGCUCUAAAAUAUGUACAUAUCGCCCGUCACUCUUUAUUAAGAUAA